UACGGGGGGAGCAAGCGUUGUUCGGAUUUACUGGGCGUAAAGGGCGCGUAGGCGGCCACCGCAAGUCGACUGUGAAAUCUCUGGGCUUAACCCAGAACGGUCAGCCGAUACUGCGGGGCUAGAGUGCAGAAGGGGCAACUGGAAUUCUCGGUGUAGCGGUGAAAUGCGUAGAUAUCGAGAGGAACACCUGCGGCGAAGGCGGGUUGCUGGGCUGACACUGACGCUGAGGCGCGAAAGCUAGGGGAGCAAACAGG
rnacentral:rRNA from 1 species